rnacentral:rRNA from 1 species
UACGUAGGGUGCAAGCGUUAAUCGGAAUUACUGGGCGUAAAGCGCACGUAGGCGGGUCGUUAAGUCAGGGGUGAAAGCCCGGAGCUCAACUCCGGAAUUGCCUUCAAGACUGCAUCGCUUGAAUCAUGGAGAGGUGAGUGGAAUUCCGAGUGUAGAGGUGAAAUUCGUAGAUAUUCGGAGGAACACCAGUGGCGAAGGCGGCUCACUGGUCCAUUACUGACGCUGAGGUGCGAAAGCUGG